GGUAACUUCUAACCAAACGUCGAGGCUACGACGUCACUGGCAGGCGUCUAAUACAUUUGAUGCAGGUAGCCUUGAAGUAGCACUAUUUUUAACCCCCAACCCAAAAAGAG